rnacentral:rRNA from 1 species
AACGAACGCUGGCGGCAUGCCUAGCACAUGCAAGUCGAACGAGACCUUCGUGUCUAGUGGCGCACGGGUGCGUAACGCGUGGGAACCUGCCCUUAGGUUCGGAAUAACUCCCCGAAAGGGGUGCUAAUACCGGAUAAUGUCUUCGGACCAAAGAUUUAUCGCCUUUGGAUGGGCCCGCGUUUGAUUAGCUAGUUGGUAGGGUAAAAGCCUACCAAGGCGACGGUCCAUAGCUGGUCUGAGAGGAUGAUCAGCCACACUGGGACUGGGACACGGCCCAGACUCCUGCGGGAGGGAGCAGUGGGGAAUAUUGGACAAUGGGCGAAAGCCUGAUCCAGCAAUGCCGCGUGAGUGAUGAAGGCCUUAGAGUUGUAAAGCUCUUUUACCCGGGAUGAUAAUGACAGAACCGGGAGAAUAAGCUCCGGCUAACUCCGU